rnacentral:tRNA from 1 species
GGCCCCAUCGUCUAGCGGUUAGGACGCCGCCCUCUCACGGCGGAAACAGGGGUUCGAUUCCCCUUGGGGCUACCA